rnacentral:lncRNA from 1 species
GCACCGGGAGCCCCCGGGUGGCUCAUGGCUGCAGGGCAAUGAUGAGGUGAGCCGCAGAGCGGAGGGGGAGCAGGGCCUCAGGCACCGGGAGCCCCCGGGUGGCUCAUGGCUGCAGAGCAGUGACGAGGUGAGCCGCAGGGGGGAGGGGAGCCAGGGCCUCAGGCACCGGGAGCCCCCGGGUGGCUCAUGGCUGCAGAGCAAUGACGAGGUGUUGGCUGAGGUGACUUCGUGGGACCUGCCCCCGUUGACUGACCGCUACCGCAGGGCCUGCCAGAGCCUGGGGCAAGGGGAGCACCAACAGGUGCUGCAGGCCGUGGAGCUCCAGGGCUUGGGCCUCUCGUUCAGCGCCUGCUCCCUGGCCCUGGACCAGGCCCAGCUUACACCCCUGCUGCGGGCCCUCAAGCUGCACACAGCACUCCGGGAGCUGCGCCUGGCAGGGAACCGGCUGGGGGACAAGUGUGUGGCUGAGCUGGUGGCUGCCCUGGGCACCAUGCCCAGCCUGGCCCUCCUUGACCUCUCCUCCAAUCACCUGGGUCCCGA